UACGUAGGGGGCUAGCGUUGUCCGGAAUCAUUGGGCGUAAAGAGCGUGUAGGCGGCUCGGUAAGUCCGCUGUGAAAGUCCAGGGCUCAACCCUGGAAUGCCAGUGGAAACUGUCGAGCUAGAGUCCGGAAGAGGCGAGUGGAAUUCCUGGUGUAGCGGUGAAAUGCGCAGAUAUCAGGAGGAACACCAAUGGCGAAGGCAGCUCGCUGGGACGGUACUGACGCUGAGACACGAAAGCGUGGGGAGCAAACAGG
rnacentral:rRNA from 1 species